GCCGGGCGGCGUGGAGCGGAGGAGGAAGAUCGGGGCAGAGCGCGGGGCUGCGGUGCCGCAGCUCCCCCCGCUACGCACUGGAGCCGGCGCCCCAGCCCACCCCGCCGCCCGAGCCCCCUUCCCCCGACGCGGCCGCAAGGGGGCGCCACCGCUCCCGCCCCGCGGAGGCCGAUGGCGGCCGCGCUGAUGGGAGCGCGAAGGCGGCAGCGCGAGGGAUCGAUAAAGGAGAUUCUCCUCAGCGCAGGAAACCGCUGCGUAACGCUGUGAAGAAGUGAGGGUACCGGGCUGGAGCUGCAGGGAGGAGAAGCGCUAAAGGACGCACCUCUCUUGCGUGCCGUGCAAGGGACAAGCCUAUGAAGCCUUCCAGACUAGAACACCAGGAUCUGAAGUUACCUUUCUUUGUGCCGACGUGUGUUUUGACUUCUGAAGCUGAGGAGAGCUCGCGGCUCCUAAAGCCCUGUCAUCGAAACUGUGUGUGGUCGCCGCCUCUGGAAAUCGGUUCACCCCACGUGGAUCCACAAUGCAGGUUUUGCGUUAGGCAGCGAUACUGGAGAGCAGCAGCCAGAGUGCACCCGGGGUCAUGGGAAUAAAGCAGCCGCUCCCCUCAGCGGUCAUGGAGAGACCUCGGGGGGAAAACCGUUUUUAUCGGCUACUGAGGCUCUGAACGCUCCUCUCUUUCCCUUGCGCUCUGUGGCAUUCAGACCAUGCUAACUCGACCUACUUUAGAUACCGCUCGCUGAGCUUUUCCAAAUGCUUAUGUUCUGUGUUUACUUAAGGUGCUAUUAAAUCCUUUAUCGGCUGUUUUACUGUUGCAGGAUUCGCUCCAGCCGUGUGCGAAUUCCAGUACGAGGCAGAGGCUCUGCUCGAGGUCAGCAACUGCACUGAAAGUACAUGAGCAAAAGCAGUGAUAUCGGCUGGAAGCUGUAACAUCAUCGACCCUGUGAAACAUGAAUUCAUGGUAGCUGCAGUGCUCCAUGCAACUCAACAGUCCCAGAGAAAGCACUGCUGUGCCACAGGAAAAGAAAAAAAAUAAGUGUUUUCUUGUGAUCACAUCAGGACCGAGUGGGAAAAGUCCAUCUGGCAGAGAUGCUCUUGGACCACGUUUUGCUGCUGAUACCUGGUUGGAGCAAAGGGCUAACUAAUGAGUUCAUGACUCUGAAGGACUGGCAGUAGGAGACUGCAUCCAGCUGAUCUGGCAGCUGCCCCUUAGUUCUUGUAAUAUGGGAACAAGCAGGUGUCUUAUUUGCUUCCUCCAUAGUGUGCUUGAGGUCACAUACCCCUGUCAUGUCUUACCUCUCUGUGUGCUUCUGUCAGACUUAGCUACCCCUGUCAUUUUUCCCAUGAUGAUGUGAGCAGAGCAACACAAACCUACCCAGCAGACAGCACAUCAUAGAUUCACAGGGUAGCAAAACAUCCUACUAACAAAGCAGGAUCUUGCUUAUUUCCUGCUGGUUUUGAAGAAUCCAUUCACAUUUUUGACAGCUGCUGUGAGUUAAGCAGGAAUUGCCUCAAACAGCAAGAUGGUCUUCCUCACUGCUAGUUCUUCAGGAUCUGCCAGUGUGCACAUGAAGUUGUGUGCUGAAAUGUCAUGCUCUGCAUGUGGAAUGUCAUCCACUACUUAAUUCUCAAGCCAGUCAGUUCCACAAGAUCUUCCUUUAACUCUUCACAAUUGGCUGUGGUUUUGAUUACCCAAAGAAUUGCAUCCAUUUAUGACCUGAAGUGGGACCCUGCCUGGUUGUAAAAACUGACACUUUUUGUCUUUAAAUUGGUCUUUGAUCCACAAAACAAACCUUCACCUUUGUGACAACUCAGUUGAUUUAAGGAAGAAACUCCAUCAGAAGCUUUGAGAAUUCCAAGUACACAGUAUCUACUGGAUUAGCUUUAUCUACAUGCACACUGAUUCUCAGAGAAGAAAAAAAAAGUAGACUUCUGAGCUGUGGUUUCCAAGCUGUGUGAAGUUCUCUCCCUUAUUUUGUGUUUUUGAAUAUGUUUACUAAUUCUCCUUUUUAUAAUGCUUCUCACAAAUGCCCCUCAAAUGAAAAUUAAAUGUAUGAGCAUGCAGUUCCCUGGGUUCUCUUAGGGACCGCUUUAGAAGUGGGCAUCACGUGUCCCAGUCCCUGUGACCUUGAGGCUAAUUUAAGCAGAGCCAAUCCAAGCACUAAAUUCUUCAUCACAGUUAAUAGUUAGGCAGUUUCAUAUUGGAGCUUCUCAGGAGCUCCUGUGUGAGUGCCAUCUGGUCCUGUUGAUCUGUUGUUAACUGUUUCAUAGGUUUGUUUUAAAAAGGCUUUUAAUGUCAUCUCAGCUUGAGACCUUUCCCCAGAUUUGCCCAAUUAAAGUUUCCAGGAUGGCAAUUCUGCUGAGCUCCAGCGCUGGAGCAAACACCAGAGAGCAAUCCAUUUGGCUUUCCAUCACCCCGUCUUCCUUUUACACUUUGAUCAUUUAUCAGCUACAGGGAGCUCCUGCCAGAGACCUCCUGUUUCUGACAAGCUUGAAAAUUUUCUCAUUACUAGUUCCAUGCCUUUGGUGUGCUGCUCCCAGUAAAUGUCUUAUUGCCUAUUGCUUUCUUAUACUUCUGCAUUUCCUUUGCCAGAACGUGUAUUGUUUUCUAACUUCUAAUAAUUUUCUCAUUUGGACGUUCCUGUCUAUUCUGAAACAAAUCUUCUUUGUCCUCUACUUCCCCUUCCUUUGCUGUUUAUCUGUGACAACUCGGAAUUUUUGUUUUCAACACGUAAUAUUUUCCUCCUCUGAAUUUCAACAUACAUUUUUACCUAAACGAAUUCAGGGUCCUUUGGAUUAAAACAAAAAUUAGGUAUUCAAAGUUUAUCUUUAAAAACGUUUUCUCAGUGGUGCUUUUUGGCCCAUUUUUGAAGCUCUACACGGAGAUCUUUGCAGGAUUUUUUCUUCCUGUGGACCUGCUGCAUCUGGGUGCACUGUGCUCUCUGUGCUGAAAUGUCCUGGUGACAUUUAUGUCUGCAGAGAUCCCCUGCUCAUGGCCCAGGAUGACACCAGGAGCUGCUUUUUCUCAGCUGUGCUCUCUGCUGCAGAAGGAGUUAUUUACAGCAUCUACGAAUACAAUCUCUGAUCAUAUUUUCACAUAACAUUCACGAGGCUGAAGGACAUCACUGAGGCCUCAGGUUCCCUUUGUUUUCAGCCCUUCUGUGCUUUCUAAUUCUUCUUCCCACUCUUCAGCCAAGGCCAGCAGCCCAGUCACACGGUUUGUUAUUCUUCUCCUUUAGGCACAGGCUCAGAUGGCAGAGACUGCUUUAGUGAAGCAUGGGCAGAGGUUGCCCAGAGAGGAGGCAGAAGACCCACCCCUACAGACACUCAAGGCCAGGCUGGAGGGAGCUCUGAGCAACCCGAUGUAACCUUAGGUGUUCCUGUUCAUUGCUGGGGAGUUGGACAAGGUGGCCUUUAAGGGUCCCUUCCAACUGAAAUGGUUCUAUGAUUCUACCCCAUGUGCCACGAUGACUGAUUAACCUGGUCCGACUCCAAGCUCCUUCCAACAUGGAACAACAUAACAUCACCUGCAAUCCCCUCUGCAGCUGAGAGCUAUGCUGCCCCAUGGCUCUGCUUAUUCUCCACAUUGCUGCUUGGAAAGUUCCAAUAUCAUUACAUCAACAUCAUCAUGUGAAAGCCCUCCCUUUUUAAUUUUUGCCCUCUAUCCAUUUAACUUUAGGACUUAGAGUUCUACAGAAAGGCCAGGGUGUAUCUUCUGAUCCUGGCCUUGACGAUAAAGGUUUGGGAGUUUUUGUUCAUAACUGUUACUUGCUGUCUGCCUCAGAAAAUUCAUCAGCCCUAAUUUUUUUCUUGUUGCAUUUGUUAUUUCUCACCAAUGGGGGUGUAACACAGCUCUAUAUAUGGUCAGGAAAGAUCUUCAAGUAAAUUGAAAGAGGUACAGGAUGUUUGCUCACUGACAUCUCAAACCAAAGCCAGAGAGUGCUCUGCUAGAGUUUGGCUCUUGUAGCGUGAGCUGUUACCAUUUGGUGGCUAAUGUCUAUUAAUUAACAGGACAGAGUUGUGCAAAAUCAGUCCUGUCAGGAAGCAAAUAAAGCACAAUAGCUUUGAAAAUGCUCACAACGAAUCCUUGGAGUGGCCUGCAGAUGAUGAGCAGCCAGCAAAGCACAGAGGUCUGCCAGGGGCCCAGGCUCCCAGCAGCAGGGCCUAAGAAACCCAUUACUGUGAUGCGGACACACAAAGCAACUGGAAGUCUAACAACUCGGGCCUCGUCCUCAGUGGGGCUCACAGGGCCUGCUCCAUCAGAACCCCCUGCACCUCACUCACUAGAGAAUCAAAGGAGCAAACUUCCAAGAAACUACAUUGUACACCAGAGACAUUACCACAGCAUGCCUGCUACACUGCCAGACUUCACUGCCCCAAGGCAAAACCAUACUAUUUCCUGGGACAUAACAGAACCUACAGAUUAAAAAUUAGUGUUUUGUAACUUAUAUAUUAAUAAAAUUAUAUACUUUAUGAAGGCUGCUUCAAAAGCAAUGCCUCUUAGUUUAUGUUCACCCACAACACCAGAGGCAUAUGCUGAUCAGAUGGCAGAAGAGGUUGAAGCUUCCUGCCAAUAACCCAUUACAUGUUGUUGCCAUGUGACAGAUGGCAGCAGAGGGGCAGUCUGACACAAUGGCAUCUGACAUGGAAGUGCUCAUGAAGAAAAGGUGCGUCACUGAAUUCCUCCAUUCAGAAAAAAUGGCACCCACUGACACUUGUUGAACACUGAUGGAGACCAAACAGUGGAUGUGAGCACAGUGAGGCAGUGUGGGUGAUGCGGUUGACAGCAGGUCACCUCUGGUGUAGAUGUUCACGAGCACAGCAUGCAGGUUCUUGUUCAUUGCUGGCAAAAAUGCAGAGCUAGUGGUGGUGGCUGUGUUAUCAAAUAGUGUUUUUGUAGCUAAUAAUUUGCUCUAUCAAAUAGUGUUAUUGUGCUCUUUAUAUCUCUUGUACUUUCCAUGGAAAUAAAUAGAUGGCAUUACUUUUGGAGUGACCUACAUAGUACACACUAAAUCAUCCAGCUCGCUAGCUGACCUUCACCAUAUGCAGCACAGGAUGCAAAAAGCCCUGAGAAACUCAGUGAGUGCUGAGAGUGGUUAGACCAUGAGUGUUGCUGUGGUUUUUCAGCACCAGAGAAACAAAGGCAGACAGCUGAAAGCCUUGGUAUAGUGCACUGUGGCCUGCUGAAGUGCAUACAUGCUCUACAGUCCAGGCACACUUGAUGGACAUAUAUGUAGGAACAAGAUGGAGGGAGUCAGAAAGCACAACUGACACUGGUCCUGGCAGACCAUUGGUAUGCUUGUGGUCACGUUCUUUUCUGGCAAAAGAGUCUUUGCAAAACUUUACAAAGCUGCAAUAUAUGCGUUGUGAGCAAUUCCUCAUUGUGAGGAGAAGUAUGGGGAAAAACACAAGACGUGUUUUUGUAAACCACUGAGAUUAGAUAAAGCAAACGAGAAAGGAAAAUAUCAUGACUCAAAAAACCCACUCCAGAACUCGAAAUGUACCAACAGUACAGUUUCUAUGGAGAGAAAAGAAGAGCUGAUCUUGCACCUUCUUUUCGCCUCCAGUAAUGAAGCAAUUCCUCCUUCAGGCUCAGGCAUGUGAGUUAGCUCCACAGCCUGUGAAACUACUGUCUUUUAAAGAACAGAAUCAGGCUUCUGAGGAGGAAGAACUAGUGUAAUUUCUCUGAGUUCUUUUCAUCCCACCCAUUCCAUGAUGAAUGAAAUGAAAACACUUCCCUGGAGGGUCCCCUAGCACAGCACUCCCAGAGGUGUUUUGCCCUCAGUUUAGAUAGUCAUGGUUUGAGGUAGGGAGACACAGAAUGGACUUUCCAUCAGCACAGAAGGAAUGAAUAUGUUCAGAGAUUUCUGGUAGCCCAGGAGAAGCAGCGCUUGCUCCAGGACUUCCCAAGGUCCAGAGCUGAGGGGUCAUUUAGUGUUAGGAAGGUAUGUAACUUCCUUACCCAAACUAUCUUCUUUGUACCUUCCUUUUUAUCGACAAGAUAGCUUGGCCAGUCAUAAGCACAGCUAACUUGGAGUCUUCCAGUUAUUACUUCUCUUCAGAUUUUAAUUUGAGAGAAUCAGCUUACAGCCUGUUAAAUGCUUUACUCACUGCCUUGCUGAGAUUCAUUUGAUUCACUGAUGGGUUGUGAAGAUUUAUUGAUUUUUCUGCCAUUUUAUUAUAUUACUCUUAUACAAUAGUCAAAAGAUGAACUACAGUCAAGUGGCUAACACAAUUAGCACACUGGCAGAGGUAAAAGCAGGCAGGUUAGACCUGGCAGGUUAGAAUGCCUAGGGAAAGGCAUUCUGGAGCCACCAAAGGAGAUGGCUGAGGCUCUAAUACAGGUGCUUGUGGUUGUUUCUGAGGCUCCAUCCAUGACAGGUGGGAGAAACUUUGAAGCCAGGAAGAAGACAAAAUACCAUGUGCCACAUUCCUCUUUAAAACAGGAAAAGAGAGAACCCAAGGACUGGUGGGCACUGGCUUCAGUAUACUGAAAUGAAUGAUGAAAGCUUGGAUAUAAAAAUAAGAAAAGUGACUAAAAACAAACAGAAAUGUAUAGAAAAUUUUAAAUCUCAGAGUUUUGUAUCAUACCUGUGAUUGUGGAGGGUAGGUAAAUCCAAAGUUUCUCAAUACCUGGGUGGGACAGCACUGCUGACCACGUGACUAAGUAACUUUACAUGUGCAGUCUGCCUGAGAAGAGAUGGGCUGCUGGGAUGUUUCAUCUCUGAGACCUCAGCAUUCCCCUUUCCUGCUGCUUAGUGCAAUCACUUCACUUGAAUGGAACGAAAAGACAGUCAGUAAAUUAAUUCCCAAUUUUUUUUUUUUCAUUAAAAUAGCUCCAAAUUCCACACAGCUUCUGUUCCAUGCAGAACACAGACAAAGGAAAAGGCAAGGGGAAAUCCCAUCAGGGACAAAGGAGACAAAUCUGGAGCAAUUAAAAUAGACAUACUUUAAAAAUGUCAGAAUCAGGGAGAAGGAGGAAAAGACUUUUAGAAGGCAGCAAAUAAAUAAAUGUGCAAGCGUGCAACUAUUAAAAUAUUUGAUGAAAUAAUAUUGUUUUUCCCAGACUAAAGAGUGAUUUGUUCACCUUAAGUAGCAGUAACCAAAACAAAAACCAAAAAAACAACAAAAAAGCCCUCUGACCUUCCCUCCACUUUAAGCUCAGUUUGGCUAUUUAUAUCAUCAUAUUUUUAACACUGCACCUAUUACAGCAGUUCUGCCACAGCCUUCUUAUUCCAGUGACGCCCUGAAGAAGGGAAGCUGGCCAAAAGAGAGUAAUAAAACCCGUAUCUUCUGUUCUGUUCAGCCUUAUUAUUGGUGGGCUUAUUUCAUAUCAUUACUUUUCAGAAAUAGAGGGCCAAGUUCCCUCUUUAGUUUCUUUGCCACUGUUUCUCAAGAACUUGCAAACUUGACCAGAGUAAGGUCACUACAUUCCAGACUGCCUUCAGUCUUAACUUCCAUGAUAAGCCCUUCCACACUGGUGAGCACCAGGUCCAAUAACACUUCAUCUCUGAUUGCGCUGUCCAAUAUCUGGGUCAGGAAGUUAUCCUCAAUGGACUCUGGGAGUCUUCUGGAUUGCUUUCAGCUCACCAUGUUGUCUUCCCAGCAGGUGGUUGAAAUCCACCAUCAGGAUGAGAGUCUGCACCUCUUGCAGUUGAAGCAAGAAGGCCUUGUCAACAUGUUGUCCUUGAUCAGGCAGACUGCAGUAGACCUUGAGCACCAGAUGUCCGUUUUUGGUCUGAUCCCUGAUUUAAAGCCUCAAUUUCAAGCUCCCAACCUGGUCAUGGCUGUUUCUCAGAGGCAGCUCUUGGCAAUCUACCCACUUUGCAACAUCGAGGGCAACUCCCCUGCUCCUCCUGCCUUGCCUAUUAGUCGUAAAAAGCCUGUAGCCCUCAGCUGCCAGUUGUAUGAUUCACCCCAGCAUGUCUCUGUGAUAGCAAUUAGGUCACAGUUUUCUAAUUCCACCACAAUUACCAUCUCCUCCCUCUCAUUUCCCAUGCUGCAUAAUGGGAUAAAUAACACUAUUAGAUAAACAGAUCAAUAAGAAUGUUAGCACAGUGUCUUUACUGAGGACAAGCACUGUCUCUCUCCUACUUACAGUGACCAGAGCACCCCCAAACCUGACUGAGCAUCUCUAGUCUUCAUGUCAAAAGACAGCUCUGUCAGGGAAUGCCUAGUAGAAUGAAAACUUGUGAACAUAACUGUGAAGUAUGCAGAAAUAGUUCUUCAGAUGUAAUAUUUGGCAACAAACGUUUUUAGAGUUUCAGCUCACUUUCAGCCUAGAAAACUUGUAUUUCUUUCACCAAGUAAUUGUUUUGAUAGAGCUUCUUAUGCUUACUUCAUUCAGCAUUUUGUGUGCUAUUCGUGUUAGAAAGACAUUUUUCUGUUCUCAGCAGAUGGAGAAUCCUGUAGCUGAAUACUUUUGGAUGUUAUCCCAGGCCUUUUUUCUCCCUUUCUCGUUCCUCUUCUCUUCUACAUCUCCCUCAGACUGAAGCAAGCUUUGCACAGAUUUGGAGGAUUUUUGAUUUCACAAUGUGUUUGAAAAAUAAGAGUGACUUGGGAGAUACAAAACAUACAAUAUGAAGCAAUGUCUUCAGCUAUGAAAAUCUGAAAGCCAAUGCCUUCUUAUGGAGUGUCUACAUUAAUCUGGUUCAAGAAGCUACCAGUUGCAUCUAUAUUCCAGUUAUUCCUACAGAUGCAUUCUUAUCAUGACUCCAAAGAAAAAACAAAAGAAAAUGAAUACAUUUCCAAUUAUUUCCUCUUCUGCUUUUCCUGAGAUGUCCUAUUGUUCACUUGUAUCUUACCUUCACUCCUCUACGACUAACAAGACUACUUUUGGGUUGGAGUUACGCUUGAUUUUCCAGACUUUGAUUUCUAGAUUGGUGUUAAUUCAUGUAAGUGUAGUGCACACUACAGAUACAUGGAAUAGCGAGUUAACAACAACUGCCAGAGUUUUAUUCUUGCAGUGGUGACAAUGACUCUAACUUUUUCCUUUAACACCUUUUGCAUUAGGAUCCAGCUUCACAACUCUCGCAAAGGCACAUGUCUCUAAGGGACUCAAUGGAAAGAGCCUGAACUGUCCCAGCUAAGCAGCUAGUCCUGCAUCUUAUAGAUCAAAGAAGUAGCAUUUUCCUCAAGUAUUCCCCUCAUCCCCUUUUAUUUCUAUGCAUUUCCUUAUGUCAAACAUUUUCUCACAUGUUUAGAGCAUCUCAGUAUCUCACACAUCUGUAUUACUGAAUACAUCUGUACUCACCUCAGGUUUCCCAAGCUCAUUUCCUCAGAUGUUGCUUCUGAGUGUAAGAAUUCUGUGUGCAUUUUAAAAUUAAAAAAAAAAAAAAGUGAGAAGUCAUUUUCCCAUCACCUCAAUGUACUUCACUUAAUGCCCCAUUCACUCAGUUCACUGAGGUAAAUAUUCUCUUCAAACUUCCUUAAGAGUUACAGGGGACAAAUAUUUUUUUCCUCCAGUUAAAUGACUCUGAAACUAACAGCUUU